rnacentral:rRNA from 1 species
AUUGAACGCUGGCGGCAGGCCUAACACAUGCAAGUCGAGCGGAUGAAGGUAGCUUGCUAUCUGAUUCAGCGGCGGACGGGUGAGUAAUGCCUAGGAAUCUGCCUGGUAGUGGGGGACAACGUUUCGAAAGGAACGCUAAUACCGCAUACGUCCUACGGGAGAAAGUGGGGGAUCUUCGGACCUCACGCUAUCAGAUGAGCCUAGGUACGAUUAGCUAGUUGGUGAGGUAAAGGCUCACCAAGGCGACGAUCGUUAACUGGUCUGAGAGGAUGAUCAGUCACACUGGAACUGAGACACGGUCCAGACUCCUACGGGAGGCAGCAGUGGGGAAUAUUGGACAAUGGGCGAAAGCCUGAUCCAGCCAUGCCGCGUGUGUGAAGAAGGUCUUCGGAUUGUAAAGCACUUUAAGUUGGGAGGAAGGGCAGUAAGUUAAUACCUUGCUGUUUUGACGUUACCAACAGAAUAAGCACCGGCUAACUUCGUGCCAGCCGCCGCAGUAAGAC